AAUUUGGCGGUGUUUUAUUCUAUUCAGAGGAACUUGUCUCGUUAUCGAUAGUCCUCGUUAUAUCUUGCUUAAUUUAACUAGUAUGUAUACCGCCGUUAUAAGUUUAUUUUUUUAGAAUUAUUUACUAUUAAUAUUAUUUUAUUUUAUUUCAGGUCAAGGUGCAGCUUAUAAUUAAGUGAUGAUGAGUUACAAUAUUAUUUAAAUAAAUGGAUUUUAUUUUGAAUUAAUUAUUAAUGAAGGUGGAUUUGAUAGUAAUUUUAUUAAUAAUAUUAUUUUGAUUUUAGCCCUAAAACAAGUACACAUCGCCCGUC
rnacentral:rRNA from 1 species